GCUCUAGAUUAACUAGGGGCUAGUUAUAGUAGUUAGUAGGGGGAUAAGAGGGCUGAAGUUAUACUUCAGGGGGUAAUAUAUCUACUAAUAGUCGUAGUAGAAAGCGAGCUAUCAGCCCCUCCUAUAAUAUUAUUAAAUAUUUAAUAAGUUAUUUUAUUAAGAGGAGCUAAUAGCUUACUCUCUACUAUAACUAUUAGUAGAUAUAUUGCUCUCUAAAAUACAACUUCAGCCUUCCUACCCCCUUACUAACUACUAUAACUAGCCCCUAGUUAAUCUAAAGC
rnacentral:miRNA from 1 species